GGGGCUUUCUGCAAGGUGCUGCAUGGUUGUCGUCAGCUCGUGCCGUGAGGUGUACGGGUUUAAGUCCCAUAACGAGCGCAACCCUUAUCGUUAGUUGCCAUCUGGUAAUGCAGGGGACUCUAGCGAAACUGCCACGUAAGGUGAGAGGAAGUGGGGAUGACGUCAAAUCAGCACGGCCCUUAUGUCCAGGGCUACACACGUGUUACAAUGGUCGGUACAGAGGGCAGCUACCUGGUGACAGGAUGCUAAAUCUCGAAAACCGGUCUCAGUUCGGAUCGAAGUCUGCAACUCGACUUCGUGAAGCUGGAUUCGCUAGUAAUCGCGCAUCAGCUAUGGCCGCGGUCGAAUACGUUCCCGGGCCUU
rnacentral:rRNA from 1 species